UAGUCCGAUGCGAAGGUCCCGAGCUCCCAGUCGGGCCACGAGAAGACGAUCACCGGACUGCUCCCCGAGAUGGUCGGAGCCACCUCCAUCUACGGA
rnacentral:ncRNA from 1 species